AACCAUCGCCACUGACCAUAUUGUUGGUGCUAACAAAGGCUGGAAUCCUGGCAUCAACUACACUCUUUGGGCCAACAACCAGACCUUCUAUGUUGGUGACCUAAUAUGUAAAAUUCUCUCUUUUUCUCUUUCAAUCUUCCAUUAUGUGCUUAAAUCAUUAAAACGUUAAUUGGUUAAUUAAAGUUUUUAUUUUCUUGAAAGAUUUGAAUUUUGGGUCUAUUUGAGUUAUAUGUCUAUCUAUAUAUAUGCAUUGUUAUUGCAGCUUUUAGGUAUCAAAAGAGCCAGUACAAUGUGUUUGAAGUGAACCAGACUGGAUAUGACAACUGCACAACAGAAGGAGCGGUAGGAAAUUGGAGUAAAGGUAAAGAUUUUAUACCUCUCAAUAAGGCCAAGAGGUACUACUUCAUCUGUGGUAAUGGGCAGUGCUUUAAUGGU
rnacentral:lncRNA from 1 species